GNNNNNCNGUNNGGNGANCNGCGGAGGGAUCAUUACCGAGUUAUACAACUCAUCAACCCUGUGAACAUACCUAAAACGUUGCUUCGGCGGGAACAGACGGCCCUGUAACAACGGGCCGCCCCCGCCAGAGGACCCCUAACUCUGUUUUUAUAAUGUUUUUCUGAGUAAACAAGCAAAUAAAUUAAAACUUUCAACAACGGAUCUCUUGGCUCUGGCAUCGAUGAAGAACGCAGCGAAAUGCGAUAAGUAAUGUGAAUUGCAGAAUUCAGUGAAUCAUCGAAUCUUUGAACGCACAUUGCGCCCGCCAGUAUUCUGGCGGGCAUGCCUGUUCGAGCGUCAUUACAACCCUCAGGCCCCCGGGCCUGGCGUUGGGGAUCGGCGGAAGCCCCCUGUGGGCACACGCCGUCCCUCAAAUACAGUGGCGGUCCCGCCGCAGCUUCCAUUGCGUAGUAGCUAACACCUCGCAACUGGAGAGCGGCGCGGCCAUGCCGUAAAACACCCAACUUCUGAAUGUUGACCUCGAAUCAGGUAGGAAUACCCGCUGAACUUAAGCAUAUCAAUAAGNCGGAGGAA
rnacentral:rRNA from 1 species